rnacentral:lncRNA from 1 species
AGACAGUGCAGGGACAAUGGUGCGCUAGGCAUGAUCUUUUUCUUUGGAAGGAAACCCAUAAACCCUUAAUUCAACCCCCAUCCCUAAGAAACCUUCGUGAGGUGGAAGAGAAGAGUGGUCCAGGUCACAUCAGGUUAUGCACCGCGGCCGGGGACGCACUCUUGGCCUGGGGAUAGGGCAAGAACCUCCCAACAACGUUGGGCACACUUGAACACCCCUGAUACAGAAGGAUCAAGAAGGACCGGCCCGUCCCUACCCAUGGAGAUUUCCACCCCAAGCUGUCUGCAGGCUGCAAGCAUCCUGGAAAUGGAUGGCAGAAUCGGAGACGGCAAGUACAGAGCACAGAGACCAGUUUGGAAGCUGACAUCAGAGAAGAUAUAAUCGGAGCAGUGGCAAUGACAGAGGGAAUGGAAAAAGGAUGCACAAAUGAUGGCUACCAUCUGGGGAGCAAACGCUCUUUGCUUACUAUAUUGUCUCUCCUCAUCAUAAGAUAGGUGAUGGCCUUUGCCCCAUUUUAUGGAUGAGGAAAUUGAAGUCACUUGGAAGUGGAAGAGCCAGAACUGGAACCCUUUUCCACAUUCAUUAAAAAUCCUCAUUUCCCUUCUCAGCAUCACUCUGUGUCCACCCUACUUAGGAACCAAGAACAAGAAACAGGGGAGAGGCUUCCUAGAAGGUGGUUUAGUCCCCACUCCAUAGUUCUCUUCACCGGAAGGACUCCGGCCAGUAAUGAAGAAAGCAAGGGACAGGGUCAUUCGGGAUUCUCGGCUUGCAGGAUUGAAAUGACUGCAGAUGAUGUGAUAAGCCCAAGAAGUUCCUGGGGCUCCGAGGCAGAAGAGCAGACAAGUUGGGGUGCCCCGGGUGAGUUUCCAGGUUGGAAGCAGCUGUGGGUUAUUUCCUUUGGGGUCUGCUCCCUUCAGGUUACUGUGUCUUCCAUUGGGAACUUCUCACCUAUAAGUGAGAAGCAGGAGGCUGGACCAUAGGGUGGGGCUUGGUCCUCUCCUCCCCAGGCCUCCUUUAUUUCCAAGGCUUCCUCACCCAUUGUCUCUGGGAUCCCUGCCUUGACAUCGUGUUUUCUUUAGUAUAGAUACCUACCUUCCCUCUGGACACUAUCUCAGCUCCCUGGCCCCCCACUGACCUCAGCCUUUGCCCAUGAAUAAUAUUUUAGGUCGUGCCUUUCUCAAUCAUCAUUUCAGGCAGUUUACUGGCUAAUACAAAUAAUGCCCUGCCUUUUGAAGUUCGUUUACAACAGUCCACUUGCAACCAUUAUUAUCAUAGCACUCUUGAAGUGGAGGUUAAUGUUAUUACAAAAUAUUGCAGCAGGAAAAUAGAGAUGCAGGCAGUUGGAAAUGCCUUUCCAAACACUCAUUCCAGAGUUCCUGCCUUGGCUCAGAAGAAGCAAAUCUGACUAGUAUCCGUGAGGACACAGGUUCAAUCCCUCGCCUCACUCAUUGGGUUAAGGACCCGGCAUUGCCGUGAUGUGUGGUGUAGGUCACAGACACAGCUGGGAUCUGGCAUUGCUGUGGCUGUGGCAUAGGGCGGCAGCUAUAGCUCUGAUUCCACCCCUAGCCUGGGAACCUCCAUAUGCCAUGGGUGCAGCCCUAAAAAGACUAAAUAAAUAAAUAAACCCUCCUUCCUCACCCCACUGUAGAUGCUCUUCAAGACCCAUCAUAGCCCCCCAUCCUCUGCACACUUUCAGCAUCUUUGUCCAAAAUAAAGGUAGCUGGAGGUUAAAAGAACUACUCCGGGUUCUGCCUACACCUCCUACCUUGGGCCUCAGUGCAGCCAGCUUUGGGGUUGAAGAUACACAGACACAGCUAAGUCUCUAGAACCCAAAUCAGAAAAUAGAAAUGGAGUAACAUCUCCUCUAAAUUAAGCAUCCAGGGACUGUUCCUGCUGUCCCUACAGGGCUGGGCCAGUGAAGCAUGGAGCAGAGCAGGGGAGAACACCAGAAGGCAGAGGCUGGACACCAGAGACCAGCCUCAUGGGAGGAUUGCAGCCACAAGACAGGGAAAUGGGUGGUUCAGCAAACAGUGGCCUGGUGGCUCCAGAUGCUCAGCGUGGGAAAUGGGGUGGUAUGAUCAGCAUGAGUCAGAGAGAUGAACAGACUGUGUGGGCACAUGUGUCAGCUCCUGUCCAGCUCUGGCCUAGAAGAUACAAGGAGAAACCAGGUCUCUAUUCUAAAUCACUGACAUUUUAGCAAACUAGCUCUUGGUUCAUAAUAAUAAUAAUUGCCACGUACCAAACAUCUGUGUUCGAGGCAGUCUCUGUGCAGACUCUUGUUCAGUCCUCACUUGGGGGAGAGGAAUCAUUCUAGACCUUAGUGUGCCUAAGUCCUCUUGGGCUCCUUUUCCUAUUCUUGCCAUAAGGCCAAUCUUAGCAAGAGGUUAAUGUGGAGGGUGGGGUGGACAAAGGAAUGUCUAUAAAUCUCACUCCAAGAACAUUAAAAAGUGACAAAUG